UGUUUUUUGUUUUUUUGUUUUUGUUUUAAUCAGUUUUAACUGAUGGACUCAUUGUGUUGCUUAUAUUCCACCUUAGGUUGACCUACUGGGACACCCAUUACCUCAUUGACACAAAAGAUGUGACGAACAGCACAAAGAAAAUGAAACCCCCAAAAGACUCACAAAGGAUCCCAAAGAUAUAUCUCCCCAUUGGCAACUGUGUUGGACCAACAUGUUCAAAGGUGAAUCCUGCAAGGGAAGUUGAGAUGCAAUAAAAGGAGGAAGAGGUCGUUUAAAAAAAGAAAAAAAAGAG